rnacentral:snoRNA from 2 species
ACCUAUGAUGAGUUGCCCAACAUGUGAGGUGUAGGUAACUCCAAGCCCUGAUUCAGGGAGAACCUACUUGGGGUCCUACAUUCAAAUGAGAUACAUGGGCAUGAACUGAGGU